GGGUGUGAUCAUACCAGUAAUAAUGCAUUGGAUCCCAUCAGAACUCCGUAGUUUAGCGUGCCUAUGCGAGAAUAGUAUUAGGAUGGGUGACCUCUUGGGAAGCCCUCGUGUUGCACCCC
rnacentral:rRNA from 1 species